UCCAUUCAAUUCAGUCAUUCUUAACAACUAAUGGAAAUACAUGAACAACAUUUCACCAUUCAGAAGCAAGAUAACCAAAAAAGUCAUUCAUGAUACAAUUAACAACAACUUAUAAGGAACUAUUAAUUUGUUGUUCCUGGACAUUUUAUCCUUGUACAAUUUUGUCUUCUCUUCCAAACGAGUUACCCUCGGUCGCAUUCUUUGCAUUUCGUCGAUAUUGAGCUCAUCAUUCUCAAGUCUUAAUCUCAUGUUCUCUGUCAAUAACAUAUUAUUUUCUAGCAUUAUUUCAUCGAUUCUACAUCCUUCUUCUUUUACAGUUCAG
rnacentral:lncRNA from 1 species